rnacentral:rRNA from 1 species
GAUGAACGCUGGCGGCGUGCCUAACACAUGCAAGUCGAACGAAGCUGUUUAACGGAAGCCUUCGGGUGGAAGUUAAAUAGACUGAGUGGCGGACGGGUGAGUAACGCGUGGGUAACCUGCCCUACACAGGGGGACAACAGCUGGAAACGGCUGCUAAUACCGCAUAAGCGCACAGUACCGCAUGGUACAGUGUGAAAAACUCCGGGGGUGUAGGAUGGACCCGGGUCCGAUUGGCUAGUUGGUGAGGGAAGAGCUCACCAAGGCGACGAUCGGUGGGCGGCCUGAGAGAGCGCGCGGCCACAGUGGGACUGCGCAACGGCCCAGACUCCUACGGGAGGCAGCAGUGGGGAAUAUUGGGCAAUGGGCGCAAGCCUGGCCCAGCAACGCCGCGUGAAGGAAGAAGGCUUUCGGGUUGUAAACUUCUUUGACCAGGGAAGAAACAAAUGACGGUACCUGGAAAACAAGCCACGGCUAACUACGUGCCAGCCGCCGCGGUAACAC